AGAGUGAACGCUGGCGGCAGGCCUAACACAUGCAAGUCGAACGGCAGCACAGGGGAGCUUGCUCCCUGGGUGGCGAGUGGCGGACGGGUGAGGAAUACAUCGGAAUCUGCCCAAUCGUGGGGGAUAACGUAGGGAAACUUACGCUAAUACCGCAUACGACCUUCGGGUGAAAGCGUGGGACCGCAAGGCCACGCGCGAUUGGAUGAGCCGAUGUCGGAUUAGCUUGUUGGCGGGGUAAAAGCCCACCAAGGCGACGAUCCGUAGCUGGUCUGAGGAGGAUGAUCAGCCACAC
rnacentral:rRNA from 1 species